ACUGUACACAAGUCAGGUCACCUAAAUCUCAAGUAAUCUUUUCUUUUAUCCUUAAAUUUUCUUAUCCUUAAGAAAAGAUUACUUGAGAUUUAGGUGACCUGACUUGAUAAAAAU